rnacentral:lncRNA from 1 species
AAUUUUUUUAAAUUGCCUGUUUACGAGGGUUGUUGAAUUCUGAUGUCAGAAGCCAACGCCACUCGUACUCCCUGUACUGGAACUCAGCAGGGGUACCAGAACGUGCGUUCCCGUGCGUAGUCCAGUGGGUCCGCAACUCGUUCUUCCACUCCUUGUACCUACAGAUACAACAAAAAUAUUAGAAAUAUUGUUAUCCUUCUGCUGUCUCUUUGUUCGCAUAUAAAUUGCACGCCAUUCACCUUGCACAUCAGAUAAACUCUUGACAUUAUCGGCUUCAUCGCUAGAAGUCUUAGUUCGUGCGACCAAUUUGGGUGACCAUCAAAUUGAAUAUGGUUCAUCUGCAACCAACCAUUCAACUGUAAAUAUGGAUAAUUAUGCAAUAAACAUAAACACGUACAGAAAAAUUAAAUUACGUACCCAGCUGCCAAAAUAAUCUGCGAACUCCCUGUUGUGGUACUCGAGAUCACCUUGAAUGUCUGGACAAUAAAGAUGGAUGUCUUUCUAGUAUUCAACUUCUGGACAGUUAAUCAAUACCCACCAGUGGGCAAUGACUAGCUCAUGUGGUUGCAACUUAUAAGAGUUUGGCAAAAUUCCAUACACUUCAACAUCACUAGAGACUAUGGAAAUAUUGAACUUCGGUACAUCUACCGGCAUGGUUUGCGGAGUUUCCUUCAACGCUCCUAAAUACAACUUCAUGUAGGUGACGCACUCGUGCGCAAUAUAUGCUUCAGCUAUACAUCCUUCAGGCGCGGAUUUAUUAGCCACAUAAUCUUUGUAGUCUCCAAGUUGCCUGUAAAUCAAGUUGCAAAAUGUUAUGAUUAUUGAACAUGUAUAUAUAUUGAGGAAUUCAGGUGUAAAAAACGUACCUUUCCAUGGGAUACAUCCAAGUGUAGUGUACUGGACCGGUAAGCAACAAUUGCUCGGGAAGAUGGAUCAUCAGGUGAGGCAUGAUGUCAAAAAAUUUGGAGGAAAUAUCCUCUCAAAUUUACACAUGAUAUAAAUGAUGUCCUCUUGCAUUUCCCGGAGGUUAGAUUUUUCACUUCCCGUGUGCAUAACUUCUGGAAAAAUCUUGCCAACGCUACUAACGGCUCCAC